UGGUAUAUGUGUACAAACAUUAAUGAAUCGUUUAAAAUAUUCUCAGUGCUGCACUAGUGAGACUUCCAGCUAUGAGAAGGAAACGUGAUGGAAGGGAGCAGGCAGACCCCAAAGGACUGCUUUCCAAGCAUAGGAUGGGGCCUUUACUAGAAUCAACUCCAGCACCUGGGAUCCUUUUAAGAAGAGGCAAGAGCACUGUGUGUGAUCCAAGCAUUCAGAAUCCAUGACACAAAUCCUCAGAUGUGGUGAAACCGCCUUUGUUAUCACCAGUCUAUAGGAGGAGAAAUUGAUGCAGGAUUUCUGAAAUAAAACUAUGCCUCCAGCCUAGGUUAUACAUGAAAAAGUGGUAAAUGAUGCAGC